GACGAACGCUGGCGGCGUGCUUAACACAUGCAAGUCGAACGGAAAGGCCCUGCUUUUGUGGGGUGCUCGAGCGGCGAACGGGUGAGUAACACGUGAGUAACCUGCCCUUGACUUUGGGAUAACUUCAGGAAACUGGGGCUAAUACCGGAUAGGAGCUCCUGCUGCAUGGUGGGGGUUGGAAAGUUUCGGCGGUUGGGGAUGGACUCGCGGCUUAUCAGCUUGUUGGUGGGGUAGUGGCUUACCAAGGCUUUGACGGGUAGCCGGCCUGAGAGGGUGACCGGCCACAUUGGGACUGAGAUACGGCCCAGACUCCUACGGGAGGCAGCAGUGGGGAAUAUUGCACAAUGGGCGGAAGCCUGAUGCAGCAACGCCGCGUGCGGGAUGACGGCCUUCGGGUUGUAAACCGCUUUCGCCUGUGACGAAGCGUGAGUGACGGUAAUGGGUAAAGAAGCACCGGCUAACUACGUGCCAGCAGCCGCGGUGAUACGUAGGGUGCGAGCGUUGUCCGGAUUUAUUGGGCGUAAAGGGCUCGUAGGUGGUUGAUCGCGUCGGAAGUGUAAUCUUGGGGCUUAACCCUGAGCGUGCUUUCGAUACGGGUUGACUUGAGGAAGGUAGGGGAGAAUGGAAUUCCUGGUGGAGCGGUGGAAUGCGCAGAUAUCAGGAGGAACACCAGUGGCGAAGGCGGUUCUCUGGGCCUCUCCUGACGCUGAGGAGCGAAAGCGUGGGGAGCGAACAGGCUUAGAUACCCUGGUAGUCCACGCUGUAAACGGUGGGUACUAGGUGUGGGGUCCAUUCCACGGGUUCCGUGCCGUAGCUAACGCUUUAAGUACCCCGCCUGGGGAGUACGGCCGCAAGGCCAAAACUCAAAGGAAUUGACGGGGCCCCGCACAAGCGGCGGAGCAUGCGGAUUAAUUCGAUGCAACGCGUAGAACCUUACCUGGGUUUGACAUGGAUCGGGAGUGCUCAGAGAUGGGUGUGCCUCUUUUGGGGUCGGUUCACAGGUGGUGCAUGGCUGUCGUCAGCUCGUGUCGUGAGAUGUUGGGUUAAGUCCCGCAACGAGCGCAACCCUUGUUCACUGUUGCCAGCACGUUAUGGUGGGGACUCAGUGGAGACCGCCGGGGUCAACUCGGAGGAAGGUGGGGAUGACGUCAAGUCAUCAUGCCCCUUAUGUCCAGGGCUUCACGCAUGCUACAAUGGCUGGUACAGAGAGUGGCGAGCCUGUGAGGGUGAGCGAAUCUCGGAAAGCCGGUCUCAGUUCGGAUUGGGGUCUGCAACUCGACCUCAUGAAGUCGGAGUCGCUAGUAAUCGCAGAUCAGCAACGCUGCGGUGAAUACGUUCCCGGG
rnacentral:rRNA from 1 species